AUUGAACGCUGGCGGCAUGCUUUACACAUGCAAGUCGGACGGCAGCACAGAGGAGCUUGCUUCUUGGGUGGCGAGUGGCGAACGGGUGAGUAACGCAUCGGAACGUACCGAGUAAUGGGGGAUAACUGUCCGAAAGGACAGCUAAUACCGCAUACGCCCUGAGGGGGAAAGCGGGGGAUCUUAGGACCUCGCGUUAUUCGAGCGGCCGAUGUCUGAUUAGCUGGUUGGCGGGGUAAAGGCCCACCAAGGCGACGAUCAGUAGCGGGUCUGAGAGGAUGAUCCGCCACACUGGGACUGAGACACGGCCCAGACUCCUACGGGAGGCAGCAGUGGGGAAUUUUGGACAAAGGGCGCAAGCCUGAUCCAGCCAUGCCGCGUGUCUGAAGAAGGCCUUCGGGUUGUAAAGGACUUUUGUCAGGGAAGAAAAGGGGCAUGUUAAUACCGUGCUCUGAUGACGGUACCUGAAGAAUAAGCACCGGCUAACUACGUG
rnacentral:rRNA from 1 species